rnacentral:rRNA from 1 species
GAUGAACGCUAGCGGCAGGCCUAACACAUGCAAGUCGAGGGAGAAGCCCUUUCGGGGGUAGAAACCGGCGCACGGGUGAGUAACGCGUAUGCAACCUACCUUUCACAGGGGGAUAGCCCGAAGAAAUUUGGAUUAAUACCCCAUAAUAUUAUUGGAUGGCAUCAUUUGAUAAUUAAAACUGCGGUGGUGAAAGAUGGGCAUGCGUCCUAUUAUCUAGUUGGAGUGGUAACGGCACCCCAAGGCUACGAUAGGUAGGGGUCCUGAGAGGGAGAUCCCCCACAAUGGUACUGAGACAGGGAACAGACACCUACGGGAGGCAGCAGUGAGGAAUAUUGGUCAAUGAACGGAAGACUGAACCAGCCAUGCCGCGUGCAGGAAGAAUGCCUUAUGGAUUGAAAACUGCUAUUAUCUGGGAAGAAUAAAGCGUACGUGUACGUAGAUGACAGUACCAUAUGAAUAAGCAUCGGCUAACUCCGUG